rnacentral:rRNA from 1 species
GGACGAACGCUGGCGGCGUGCUUAACACAUGCAAGUCGAACGGAAAGGCCCCUUUGGGGGUACUCGAGUGGCGAACGGGUGAGUAACGCGUGAGUAACCUGCCCUUGACUUCGGGAUAACUUCAGGAAACUGGGGCUAAUACCGGAUAGGAAUCCUUGCUGCAUGGUGGGGGUUGGAAAGCUUCGGCGGUUUUGGAUGGACUCGCGGCUUAUCAGCUUGUUGGUGGGGUAGUGGCUUACCAAGGCUUUGACGGGUAGCCGGCCUGAGAGGGCGACCGGCCACAUUGGGACUGAGAUACGGCCCAGACUCCUACGGGAGGCAGCAGUGGGGAAUAUUGCACAAUGGGCGGAAGCCUGAUGCAGCAACGCCGCGUGCGGGAUGACGGCCUUCGGGUUGUAAACCGCUUUCAGCAGGGGCGAAGCUUGUGGUGACGGUACCUGCAGAAGAAGCACCGGCUAACUACGUG